GGGGGUAUAGCUCAGUUGGGAGAGCGCUACACUGGCAGUGUAGAGGUCAGGGGUUCAACUCCCCUUACCUCCACCA
rnacentral:tRNA from 1 species